rfam:Solanum tuberosum cultivar DM 1-3 516 R44 scf00100_75, whole genome shotgun sequence.
UUGGAAGAUUUGAAGACUUCAGCUUGUAUACUUGGAAGAUUUGAAGACUCUAACUUGUAUACUUGGAGGAUUUGAAGACUUCAAUU